UUUAAUUGGCAUACAUUGUAAACUUUCCAGGGGGUUAAGAAAUGCAAUCCUUUAUUCCUGAGCAGCAAGCUAUUCAUUAUGGAAAUGGCCCCUAAUUGGCUGUCGUACCUUAUCUGGUAAGAUGCAGAGCCCAACGCCACACAACUUUAAUAUGAGGUCUAUGUAAUCACUUCUCCUGGUUAUCAAAGCAAGAUCUCCAGAGACUGAUUCCAGCAAUCUAAGAACGAGUAUGAAAUCCCUACAGCACGUAAUUGGGUAUUUUAAAGCUCCUUUUGAAUUUUUUCACACAUGUUUGUUGGUUGACUGAAAUUCAUUUGCAGGCUAUAAAGACAAAACCAAGAGCCAAAAUCAAGAGUGGAAAAGAAAAGGAAGCUCAGUGGAAAUCCAUAGUAGAGGUGCUGAGCAUAUAUGUACCUUCGAAAGCCAGAAAACCCAAUUUUUAUCUUAUAUUUGGUAACAAUAAAUUACCGCCUACAACAAUUCCCAACCCUAAGCUUGGUCAAGAUUUUAAACCCAUUCAUAUUUUUUAAUUGCUAAUAUUUCAGCUCUAUGUAAUACUUGGAAGAGAUGAGACCUAUUAGUUAUAACAGACAUUAUCAUUUUGUGUUUUCCUCUCAACUUCACUUUCUACCAUGGUUCUCAAAUGUGUUUCUUGGACCAGAAAUAUCCCCAUCACCUGGUAACAUACUAAAAAUACAACUUUGGGGCUACAGAACCAGAAACUCUGGGGAGAGGCUAAGUAAUCUCCGUAACAAGCACUCCAGGUGACUCUCAUGAAGCUUGAGACCUACCACACUACACCACGUGACAACCUCCAAACCUAUCUCUGUUCCCAAAUGCCAGAUGGGCAGAGACGCCAGAGAAAUGGCACAGACCAAAUUCAUAAAACAUCAAGGUUGUUACCUCCUUGGCAAAACUGUUCCUCUUUCUGUGCUAUCCCCCCCUAGCCAAACAUAUCGGCCUUAUUACCCGGUUUAUUAGCUAUCCAUCGCCAUGCUGUGAAUCCCCGACCUUAGCAGCUGAUGACAGUGAACACUUACUGCCUCACACGCUUGCUGAGGGUCGGGAUUCUGACGAUGGCCUGGCUGAGUGGUUCACGCUCAGAAUCUAUCAUGAGGUUGUGGUCGCGAUGUCAGGUCCUGCAGGGGCUCCUUUGGGCUGGAGAAUUGACUUCCAACGUCACUCACCUGGGCUCUUGGCUACUGUUACGAUGCCCCAGUUCCUUGCCGUGUCCAUCUCUCCAUAAAGACACUCAGGAGAAGGCAAACAAUGCUUCCCCCAGAGCAAAAAGACAGAACAACCAGAACAAGGCCAGAGGGAUCAUCCCCCCAUGGCCUGGGGUUGGAAGGCGCACACCAUCACUUCUGCUGUAUUCCGCUGGCCGAAGAGAACAACCCGGGCCCUUGCAUAUGGGAGAUAAUUCAUUCUAUUCUCCAUAAGACAAAGGGAGGAUAGUCAACGUGAGUUUGAAACAAUCAUGACUCUUCCUCUGACGAGUAAUCCUGUCUAUAAGUUCGCAGUUGGGAAACUGCCUAUCACAUCCAAGCUAUAUAGUCUUUUGAAAGACUUUACCAAAAGACAGAUGAGACCAUUUCCUUCUAUACAAUAUGGAAUCUAGAGAUACAGAAGGAGAAAGAUCUGAGCAAGAAUCAUUUCCAGAGCUUCUCAGGAGCUUCUGAAGGAUCACACAAUGAAGCAUUAGAGCAAGAAGAAUGAUUCAUAAUAAUAACAUCAAAGAUUUGACUGAACACCUAAGCACAAAGUGUGCAUUCUUAAUAUCUUAUUAUCAAGGCAAUGUACGUGUGCAAUGCAAUCCCUAUCAAAAUACCAUGUGGACUUUCUUCAGAGAGUUGAUUCUGAGAAAGAGACAGUGACAUCCAGCAGCCAACCUGGCACUCCUAUUUAGGCCUCGGAGUUUCUAGAUCUGGCCCAACACUCAGAGCCAGGUUUAUAUCUCUAAGAAGAGAAAUGAUAGAUGGCAGAGAGACAGGAAAUACAGCGAAGAGGAUUUUGAGGGAAACAGAACUCUUAACUUCUUAAGCAACAACUCUCAAGACCACUAACAAAAGUCUGGGUGAGACACAGUGCCCAUGAGGAGCAGGAGCCACGUGGCCACUGAGGAUGACACAUUCGAUCUGAGAAGACCAGGGCGUUGCAGCAGAGGCUUUCCAUGCUGCAGUCAGAGAAACUCGUGGUCCAAGAAGAGCUGAGUCCAAUCAAAUAGAGACAGUGAGAAUUACUAUUUUGAUUUUUCACAAAGACUAAGUAAAAUGUCAGAUAAAAACAUGUAUUAAGGUGCAAUCUAUUUUCGAGGUUAAAAGUAUGGAUUAAAUACAGAGAAGCUGGGUUUGAAACCUUGGCUCUACUGUUUCUCUCUACGUGGUCUUGGGUAAAUUACUUGACCUCUCAAGGCCUAUUUCCUCAUUAGCAAAAUGGAAGUAAUAAUAGUAUCUGUGCAAUAAAAUUCUCGUUGGAUUAAUUGCCAUGAUGUGGGUGAGGUGUUCAGCUCAGUGCCUGGCACACAGUAGGUCUAUAAUUACUAUCAUGGUGGUGUUGGCGGCGACCACUAUGCAACCAAGUACAGAAAUCCUCAUGCUAAAAUCAAGGCAUUUGAAGCUUCAAACUGAAUUAGCUUUGUGGAGAAAAUUAUACUUUAAAAUAUUUCUAAAUAUAUUUUAACAUAAGGUUUUGAACUCUGACAGAAGAGUUAAAGUUUAACAAGUAUGACCCUGAGGCACCUGUGUGGCUCUGUCGGUUAAGCAUCUACUCUUGAUUCCCACUUGGGUCGUGAUCUCAGAGAUGUGAGAUCGAAUCCCACAUCAGGCUCCACGU